GACGAACGCUGGCGGCGUGCUUAACACAUGCAAGUCGAGCGAGGGCCCACCUUCGGGUGGGUUCCUAGCGGCGAACGGGUGAGUAACACGUGGGCAACCUGCCCUCAGCACUGGGAUAACCCCGGGAAACCGGGGCUAAUACCGGAUACGACCCCCGUGGGCAUCCGCGGAGGUGGAAAGUGUCAGCGGCUGAGGAUGGGCCCGCGGCCUAUCAGCUUGUUGGUGGGGUGACGGCCCACCAAGGCGACGACGGGUAGCCGGCCUGAGAGGGCGAACG
rnacentral:rRNA from 1 species